AUUGAACGCUGGCGGCAGGCCUAACACACGCAAGUCGAGCGGAUGAGGGUAGCUUGCUACCUGAUUCAGCGGCGGACGGGUGAGUAAUGCCUAGGAAUCUGCCCGAUAGUGGGGGACAACGUUUCGAAAGGAACGCUAAUACCGCAUACGUCCUACGGGAGAAAGUGGGGGACCUUCGGACCUCACGCUAUCGGAUGAGCCUAGGUCGGAUUAGCUAGUUGGUGAGGUAAUGGCUCACCAAGGCUACGAUCCGUAACUGGUCUGAGAGGAUGAUCAGUCACACUGGAACUGAGACACGGUCCAGACUCCUACGGGAGGCAGCAGUGGGGAAUAUUGGACAAUGGGCGAAAGCCUGAUCCAGCCAUGCCGCGUGUGUGAAGAAGGUCUUCGGAUUGUAAAGCACUUUAAGUUGGGAGGAAGGGCUGUAGGCUAAUAUCCUGCAGUUUUGACGUUACCAACAGAAUAAGCACCGGCUAACUUCGUGCCAGCAGCCGCCGUAA
rnacentral:rRNA from 1 species